rnacentral:rRNA from 1 species
GACGAACGCUGGCGGCGUGCCUAAAACAUGCAAGUCGAACGGGGUCCAUCCUUCGGGAGAAGACCUAGUGGCGAACGGGUGAGUAACACGUGAGCAAUCUGCCUCAGAGUUCGGGAUAAGCCAGGGAAACUUGGUCUAAUACCGGAUGCCUUUAUCGAGUCUUAUGUCUUGAUAAGGAAAGUUUUUCGCUUUGUAGAGGAGCUCGCGUCCUAUCAGCUUGUUGGUGGGGUAACGGCCUACCAAGGCUUCGACGGGUAGCUGGUCUGAGAGGAUGAUCAGCCACACUGGGACUGAGACACGGCCCAGACUCCUACGGGAGGCAGCAGUUAGGAAUCUUGCGCAAUGGACGAAAGUCUGACGCAGCAACGCGCGUGAGGGAUGAAGGCUCUCGGGGUUGUAAACCUCUUUCAGCAGGAAACGAAAUGACGUACCUGCAGAAGAAGCUCCGGCCAACUACGUGCCAGCAGCCG